rnacentral:rRNA from 1 species
UACAGAGGGUGCAAACGUUGUUCGGAAUUACUGGGCGUAAAGCGUGUGUAGGCGGCUUCGUAAGUCGGGUGUGAAAGCCCCGGGCUCAACCUGGGAAGUGCAUUCGAUACUGCGAAGCUUGAGUAUCGGAGAGGUUGGUAGAAUUCUCGGUGGAGAGGUGAAAUUCGUAGAUAUCGAGGGGAAUACCAGUGGCGAAGGCGGCCAACUGGACGAAUACUGACGCUGAGACACGAAAGCGUGGGGAGCAAACAGG